rnacentral:rRNA from 1 species
UACGUAGGGUGCGAGCGUUAAUCGGAAUUACUGGGCGUAAAGUGUGCGCAGGCGGCCGAACAAGUCGAGUGUGAAAGCCCCGGGCUUAACUUGGGAAUUGCGCUCGAAACUACUUGGCUUGAGUGUGGCAGAGGAAGGUGGAAUUCCACGUGUAGCGGUGAAAUGCGUAGAGAUGUGGAGGAACACCGAUGGCGAAGGCAGCCUUCUGGGCCAACACUGACGCUCAUGCACGAAAGCGUGGGGAGCAAACAGG